UACGGAAGGCAGCAGUGGGGAAUAUUGCACAAUGGGCGCAAGCCUGAUGCAGCCAUGCCGCGUGUAUGAAGAAGGCCUUCGGGUUGUAAAGUACUUUUCAGUCGUGAGGAAGGUGUUAAGGUUAAUAACCUUAGCAAUUGACGUUAGCGACAGAAGAAGCACCGGCUAACUCCGUGCCAGCAGCCGCGGUAAUACGGAGGGUGCGAGCGUUAAUCGGAAUUACUGGGCGUAAAGGGCACGCAGGCGGUUAAUUAAGUUGGAUGUGAAAUCCCCGGGCUUAACCUGGGAAUGGCAUUCAAGACUGGUUAGCUAGAGUCUUGUAGAGGGGGUAGAAUUCCAUGUGUAGCGGUGAAAUGCGUAGAGAUGUGGAGGAAUACCGGUGGCGAAGGCGGCCCCUGGGACAAGACUGACGCUCAUGUGCGAAAGCGUGGGGAGCAAACAGGAUUAGAUACC
rnacentral:rRNA from 1 species